rnacentral:rRNA from 1 species
UCCGGAGGGGGCUAUCGUUGUUCGGAAUUACUGGGCGUAAAGCGCACGUAGGCGGACUGGAAAGUCAGGGGUGAAAUCCCGGGGCUCAACCCCGGAACUGCCUGUGAAACUCCCAGUCUUGAGGUCGAGAGAGGUGAGUGGAAUUCCGAGUGUAGAGGUGAAAUUCGUAGAUAUUCGGAGGAACACCAGUGGCGAAGGCGGCUCACUGGCUCGAUACUGACGCUGAGGUGCGAAAGCGUGGGGAGCAAACAGG